rnacentral:rRNA from 1 species
UACGUAGGUGGCAAGCGUUGUCCGGAUUUAUUGGGUUUAAAGGGUGCGUAGGCGGUUCCAUAAGUCAGUGGUGAAAUACGGCAGCUCAACUGUCGAGGUGCCAUUGAUACUGCGGAACUUGAGUACUGAUGAGGUAGGCGGAAUUGACGGUGUAGCGGUGAAAUGCAUAGAUAUGUCACAGAACACCAAUUGCGAAGGCAGCUUACUAAAGUAUGAUUGACGCUGAGGCACGAAAGCGUGGGGAUCAAACAGG